AGAAAUAGAUAACACACUGGCAUUGGCCACAGUCUCUCAGGACCAGCUCACGAAGUCUUUCAGGACAAAGGUUUUGUCUUAACGCUCAAAGAUCUGCAGGACCCUGUAUGGUAGAAGAAACAUAUCAUUGUAUUUAGAAACUUCUCUAUACAUACAGGAAUUUGACAACAGUUUGUGCCACUUAUGGAUUUAAAGAACUGGCACCUUGAAUGGGAUUCUGAAUAGAAUUCGUACAGAUGGAAUGUAAAUAUCACCCUGAACUGAAUUGGCCCUCAUCCUGUCCAGCCAAUCUGGAAAUGUCUGGUUUGUCUCCUGGGAGCACUCCCCAAAGAACCUUCUACACACAGUUCUCCAACUCAAAGUCUGUUUUCAGGGAAUCCAAUUCAAGACAGGGAUAGUUGGAAGUCACAACCGUUCCAUGGACUUUGAUGUUCUUGAUAUUCAUUCUUGGUAUUGGCAUUAUGAGUUGUGACACUAGGAGGAGUCUCCAAGUGACUUUGAAAUGAGAAGACAGGAACAAAGAGGUGUCAUACAUCCCUCACAGAUGGUCAGAAAUAUCUAAAGAGUUUUUGCCAAAGAGAUAGGGUCCUGAAUGGGCAGCAGGGUUAAGAGAAAAAUGUGUAGUUAUUAAUGUUAAUGAGACAUCCUUUGCUACAAGAUGAUGGUGAGGUCUCAAGGAGAUCUAGGUUAUAUUUACAAGGGAUCACUCCAAUUACUACAUGUCCGUCUUUUCUAAAAUUAGACUUUAUUGUGCUCUAUUAAAAUAGCUUUAUCUUUAGAAGAGAGUUUCUCAAAAUGUGAUUUGGGGACCACCUGCAUCAGGAACACCUGAGAAUUUGUUAAAGUUGCAGAUUCUAGAGCCCCAUCUCAUGCUUACUGAACCAGAAUCUCUGGGAAUCUGCAUGUUUAUUUAACAAGUUUUUCAAAGCUUGCAUGUUUAGCCAGCUUUUAAAGUAAAAGUUUUCAACUGCUUUAGUUG
rnacentral:lncRNA from 1 species